GCACUGAUAGUUCAAUGGUAGAAUUUUCUCCUUCCAUGUGGGAGACCCAGGUUUGAUCCCUGGCCAAUGCA
rnacentral:tRNA from 1 species